rnacentral:rRNA from 1 species
UACAGAGGGUGCAAGCGUUAUCCGGAUUUACUGGGUUUAAAGGGUGCGUAGGUGGGUAGGUAAGUCAGUGGUGAAAUCUUCGAGCUUAACUCGGAAACUGCCAUUGAUACUAUUUAUCUUGAAUACUUUGGAGGUAAGCGGAAUAUGUCAUGUAGCGGUGAAAUGCUUAGAUAUGACAUAGAACACCAAUUGCGAAGGCAGCUUACUACACAGUUAUUGACACUGAGGCACGAAAGCGUGGGGAUCAAACAGG